rnacentral:tRNA from 2 species
GCCCCCAUCGUCUAGAGGCCCAGGACACCUCCCUUUCAAGGAGGCGACGGGGAUUCGAAUUCCCCUGGGGGUA